GUUUUACUAAGAGAAAGGAUGAGAAGGACAGGGAUGAGGAGACGACAUCCCGUGGGAGUGCAAGUCAACAGCUACAGAGCGGCCUGGGAAGCGUGUUAACCCCGGUUCUGGUCAAGGGACCCGCCCAGUUCACAGACUCUCAGCCCUCCACCCUCAUCCCCACAACUGGAAGAGAAGAGAAGAUACAUACCCAGCACAGACCCAGCCACAAUGCCCAGACCCAGGCCUUUGCUGAGGAGAAUCUUGAGACAGGGAACUGAGAAGAGAAAAAGGGGUACAUGGAAGGAGGUCCCUGGCACCCAGGCCAGCGGUAAAUAAAGGAUUUUAAUGCUCCUAUGCUUGUCGCUGCUCCUUUAGACCCUGACCUACCCACACAAGGAAGCCCUGGGCUGUAUGGCCCUUCCUGCUUCAUAUCCUAUCACUGUCAGGCAGGUGACUUUCCAAAACAGCUUAUACCGUGCCGAUUACAGCUAAACUUCUUGGUCUUCUGACUUCCAAGGUCUCCAUUGCUUCACUGAAAAGCUGAGCAAUGCCCAAGAGUCCUCCAAGCCUUUAUUCUCCUGAACAACUAGGAUCCAUUCCGAAGACAGGUCUCCCUGUCCCUCAUGCCUGAACCCUCUGUCCCUGGCCCGCAUCUUCCCAUCCUGGAAGCUCUACCCGCCCAAGGAGCUUGGUUAGCCAAGUGGGAGUCAUGACUUCGACCAAAUCGUGUCCCAGGAGCGCGGUGGCGGACCAGGAACUGACCAGAACAGACUGGGAAGGCCUCCUAAAGGGUCUGGUGUCUGAGGUGGGCUUUGUGUGCAACUGCCUGACAGACGGAGUAAGAAGGCGGGUUGUUCCAAAAGUAAACCAAGAGCAGAAGCGGAGGGUGGAAGGAGCCUUUGAAACAAGUGUAACUUGGCCCCUGAAAGAAUAGUGACCUAUUAAAGACUGGAACGAUUUGGUCAGAUUUUAACUUUGUUUUGCAAAAUUUGAGUCCCUCGGUCCGGGACCAUCGCUAAAGCGCAAGCCUCACAAAGGAGUGGUUCCGCCUUCCUCCCGCCCAAAUAUGGCGAGCUCCCUCUAAGGAGACCGAGGCACUUCCGGCCCGGUCUGGAGUGACUUCCGCCCAGCGCUGCGGGGCCGCAGUCGCGGCCACCUAACCCGCAGUCACGCCCCGCUUACGGCCGAGGGCGCUCGAGCAGAACUUUGAUAGGAUGCCGAAUUAAACUCACCGUGAAGCAAGUCCCACUGGACGAAAAUUUGGUCGUAGCAUUUCUCAGCUGUCUGGCUCCCUGAGACUCAACCGCAGAAGGCACAGUAAGGCGCGGGACAAGAAACUUACGGCUUUUCAUCCCAGCCAGAAGGACGGGGGAAAGCAAGGACAGAGGCUGGAGCAGGUUUUAUUUUUCUGGGGACGGGGGAGGAGAAACUCAUCACAUUCAAUAAACCUCUUUCCUCUUGUCCCACCCC